CCCGCUGAACUUAAGCAUAUCAAUAAGCGGAGGAAAAGAAACUAACAAGGAUUCCCCUAGUAACUGCGAGUGAAGAGGGAAAAGCUCAAAUUUAAAAUCUGGCUGUUCUAGUUAGCAGUCCGAGUUGUAGUUUAGAGAAGUGCUAUCCGCGUUGGCCUGCGCAUAAGUUUCUUGGAAAAGAACAUCAUAGAGGGUGACAAUCCCGUCUUUGGCACAGAUAACCAAGGCUUUUGUGAUACGCUCUCAACGAGUCGUGUUGUUUGGGAAUGCAGCACUAAAUGGGUGGUAAAUUCCAUCUAAAGCUAAAUAUUGGCGAGAGACCGAUAGCGAACAAGUACCGUGAGGGAAAGAUGAAAAGAACUUUGAAAAGAGAGUUAAACAGUACGUGAAAUUGUUGAAAGGGAAACGCUUGAAGUCAGUCGUGUCUUUCAGGGAUCAAGUUGCCCUUUGGGUGACCGCACUUCCUGUUGGAUGGGUCAGCAUCAAUUUUGAUCAUUGGAUAAAGGCUUAGGGAAUGUGGCAUCUUCGGAUGUGUUAUAGACCUGGGUUGGAUACAAUGAUUGGGAUUGAGGAACUCAGUGCUUGCACUCAGGAUGCUGGCAUAACGGCUUUAAUCGACCCGUCUUGAAACACGG
rnacentral:rRNA from 1 species